rnacentral:lncRNA from 1 species
CUAAUAGAGUGGUAUAAAUCAAAUGCUAUUGGUAUACAAAAGGACAAAUUUUGUCAGCCAAGUGUAUGGGUAUCUUCAAAGAGCACAGGUGCCAUCUGUUCUGAGCUAAUGACCCAUUGAAGAAGGCCACACCAAAUUUGGGGGAAAAGCAGCAUAAACAAAUGCCAGAGUAUUUUCCAGGCAGGUUGUAUUUGGAGAAUCUCCUAAUGUUGUAUAUUUAAUUUGUCCUUUGUCCAAGAAUAAUGCAAUGAACUAGGCAACUAGUUGAAUAAAAAUUGAAACCAAGUUCAAACAAGCCUAUUGAAAAAUGGGCAAAAGACUGGAAAAACAUGGCCAAUAAGCGUAAGAAGAGAUGUUCAGCUUGAUCAGUCAUCAAGAAACUACAAAUCAAGACCACACUGAGGCUGGGUGUGGUGGCUCAUGCCUGUAAUCCCAGCACUUUGGGAGGCUGAAGUGGGCAAAUCACUUGGACAGGAGUUCAAGACCAGCCUGGGCAACAUGGUGAAACCCUGUCUCUACUAAAAAUACAAAAAGUUAGCUGGGCAUGGUGGUACACACCUGUAAUCCCUGUUACUCGGGGGCUGAGGCACAAGAAUCACUUGAACUCUGGAGAGAGAGGUUGCAGUGAGCCGACAUCAGCCACUGCACUCAAGACUCUCGAUCUCUCUCUCUCAAAAAAAAAAAAAAAAGACCACAAUGAAAUACAACUUUGGACUCAGUAGACUGACAAAAAUUAACAAAUGUUACACAGAAUCUCUUAUAUUGCUGGUAGGAGUAUAAAUUGUUUCAAUUAUUUUUGAAACUAAGGGUUUGCAUUAUCUUGUGAAGUUUAAGAUAGAUUCACAUAUAUGCUCAAGCAGCAAUUCCACCUCUGGGUAUUUACCUAAAGGAAAUGAUAGCAUGAAUGCCCCAGGAGACAUGGUCAUUAAAGUUCUUAGUAGAACUGCUCACAAUAGCAACAACAAACCAAAUGCCCAUUGACGAGAGUGGAUGAAUAAAUUACAGUGAAAUAUUUUGCAGUCAAAAUUAACAGAUAAAUCCAAUAUGACUUAACAGUGGUUUACAGCGAAUGUUUUGUUUCUCUGCUGACACAUCAAUACUUGUGUCUUCAUAUGUUUAGCAUUUUUAUUCUGAACUUAUAUGUGGUUGAAGGUCAUCUGUGGGAGUCAGAAACUAAAUUGAGCAUGCUGCCUCCAGAGAGAAUUAGCAUUUGCUUGUUUUUUUCGGGUAACAUACUGCUAUGGACUGGGGCCACUUUAGCCCUGUUUGAGUAUCCUAGGCUAUUAGUAGAGUCAACUUUUACUUCUUACAGCUUAUUCCCAAGGCUUAUUCUCCAGUGUAACCCUAGAUUUAUUUUUUAUUAUUUUUAUCUUUUUUAAGAUUCAAGGGAUACACAUGCAGGUUUGUUACAUGAGUAUUGCAUAAUGCUGAGGUUCAGGCUUCUGAUGACCCCAUCACCCAAGUAGCAAACAUAGUACCCGAUAGGUAGUUUUUUAGUUUUUCAACCCUUGCCCCACUCCCUCCCUUCCCAUGAAUCCCCAGUGUUAGAAAUGCUUGUUCCCCAGUGCCGUAAAGAAAUAGCACUUGAACAUAAAUUUAAUUUCUUCAGCAAGGCCAUUUUUACUUUCUGCAGAAAGGGUACACUCACUAGCAGUUUUGUCACCAGAGUACACAGAACAAAGGAGACAGGGUCAUUUAUAACCUGAUGCGUCCACACUACUGCUGUGUCUGAUUUCCACUGGCUGGAACGGGACCUCACAUUCUGUAUUUGUCCUGAUUGGCUAGCAACUUAGAACCUUUUAAAAGAGGCAAAGGCAGAGGAGAACAAAGGAAGGAGGAAGUAACUUGUGGAAUGCUGAGAAAGGUAAAAACACCUUCAAAUAAGGAAGAGGAACAGGCUAUGACCUAAUGCUUGCUUGGACCAGUAUAAGCAUGCCAGGGCAAAUAUUUAGGCUAAAUUGUGGGAGAUAACAUAAAGUACAUUGAUUUCUUUAUUACAGAUAGCAGAUAUUUAAGAAUGUUGGCACAGGUCUUUGAAUAAAUUUUGCUUCUAAGGAAAGUUACUGUUUAUUCCUAAUUAGAUGGGGAAGAAAGUCUUUGAAGAGGAACGUCUACUUUUUUUUUUUACACCAGUGUCUAUUGUUCCUAUCUUUGUGUCCAUGUGUACACAAUGUUGAGUUCCAACUUACAAGUGAGGACAUGCAGUAUUUGUUUUUCUAUUUCUGCAUUAAUUUGAUUAGGCUAAUGGCCUCCAGCUACAUCCAUGUUGCUGCAAAGGACAGGAUUUCAUUCUUUUUAAUGGCUGUAUAGUAUUCCGUGGUGUAUAUGUACCACAUUUUCUUUAUCUAGUCCACCAUUGAUGGGUACCUGGGUUGAUUCCAUGCCUUUGCUAUUGUGAAUGGUGUUGUGGUAAACAUGAGUGCAGGUGUCUUUUUGGUAGAACGAUUUAUUUUCCUCUGAGUAUAUACCCAGUAUGGGAUUGCUGGGUAAAUAAUAAUUCCAUUUUUAGCUCUUUGAGAAAUCUCCAAACAGCUUUCCACAUAGGCUGAACUAAUUUGCAUUCCCACCAACAGUGUGUAAUUGUUCCCAUUUCUCAACCCUGGAAGGGUUAUUCAGAUAGUGUUUGCCAGACUGCUGGAAGUGUAUUUCACUAACUAUAGUUUGAUUCAUAUGUCUUCCGUGACUUAUCUGUAAAUUCCUUGAAAGAAGGAACUUCUGACCUAAAAUUUUGAAUAAAACAUUAAAGUUUUAGGGAAAUUUGGCUGGGUGCAGUAGCUCAUGCCUGUAAUCUCAGCACUUUGGGAGGCCAAGGUGGGAGGAUUGCUUGAGCCCAGAAGUUCAAGAACAGCAUGGGCAACAUAGUGAGACCGCCAUCUCAAAAAUAACAAAUAAAAUAAAGUUUUGGGGAAAAUUCUUAUAUAUUUAGAUACUAUGGUAACGUUUUAAUAAAAUAAACUGAGUUGCUUUUCAUGUAUUUCUGUUUUCUAAAAAUUAUGUGCUAUAUUAAUUACCUGUUCCUGCCCUGGAGAUGAUGUUUGGUUAUAUUUUCAGGUUCUUUCACUAUUUUUAUUUUUGUCUGUUUGGACUUACAACUUUUAUCUAUGUUAAAUCUGGUAUUUAUACUUCCCUUUAAAGCCAUAUAUUUUAUCAAAAAAUUAUUAGAGAAAAUUUAUACUCACAUGGUAUUUUCUAAUAUUAAAAACUCCUUAAAAAAACUCAUGUCUGUCACCUUGCUCAUUUCCUUUUUUUAUUUUUUGAGACAGAGUUUCCCUAUUGUCACCCAGGAUGGAGUGCAGUGAGCCACUGCACUCUAGCCUGGGUGACAAGGCAAGACCCUGUCUCAAAAAUUAAAUUAAUUAAAUAACACCAUAAUUUAUGGGUGUGUAUUUAUUUAUAGCUUUAGCCACAUAUAAACUCUUAAAAUGUUAUAGUGUAUUUUAUUACUUCUAAGUAACCUAUGAUUUUAUUUUUACUUCAUCUUAACUCACUUAUUGAAGAGGUUAAUAUUUUAGGUAGUUGAAAUGUUUUCCUGUUUUAAUUGUCAGUAUUAAUUUCUAGUUAUAAAUUUGGACUAAAGAAUGUGACCUGAGCAAUUUCUUCAUUUUGGAUAUUACUGAAGUUUUAUUUGUGACCAAUAUUUGAAACCAUUUCAUGGUUCCUGAACAAGAAAGCAUGGUAUGUGCUUCAAAAUACAACAUUCAACUUAUAGCUGUAUUCAGUGUUGUUAAUUGUAUUUUGAAAGUAAAAACUAACCAUUGGUUUUUGUCUACCUGAUAUAUAUGUGCCUGAUAGUAUCUUGUUGUCCCCUGCUAUGUUUUUGUUUCUGUCAAUGUAUCAUAUUUUAAAUCAUAGUUAUUUUAUAAAAUGUGAUUGUGAGUUAUUAUUUAAACCAUGCCUUCUUUAGAGGUUGGACCUUUUAUCAGUGUGAAUAACUCUUUUUGUCCCUUGGAUAUCAAUUAAAUUGAAUUCUAAUUUUUUUUUUUAACCUUACCUCAGGUGCUGUUUGGCUCCUGCAGCCAAAUACACUGAUGAUUUAAUUAAAAUGUUUAUCUCCCCCAAAUUUUAAGAACUUUAUUUGGGUUAUUUGGAAUAAUGUAUAAAAUAUCUAUAUAGAUUAUUAUAUAAUUCAGGGGGAAGCAAAUUAUCAGAACAAUUUCAUGUUAUACAAAUAACAUCAGAAAAAUAUCUUAAAUUAUAUGGCAUAUUCUAUUGAUUCAUCCACAAAUUUAUAAGUCCUUACCACCUUUCAUUAUAUUGGUACUAGGCAUUAUAGUAGUGCUAGGCACUAUAGUAAUGCUGGGGUAUAAACAAGAAUAAAACAAAAUAAGUUCCUUAUUUCAGGUAACUUACAGUAUAGGUCAGUGGUUCUUAGCUUGCUUUUUAAUUAUGAAUUCCUUUGAAAGUCUAGUAAAAUAAUCCAACACCAUUAUUCCCCAUUGCACAUACCCCCAGAUGUUUUAGACAUAUUUUCAAUUGCUCCAUGGACCUUAAGAAAACUUGGUUGGUGUGCAGUUUGGUGUAUUAUGGGUAAGACUGGACCUGGUGUUAGAAAAUCUGCAUUUGAGGCUUUGUUCUGACAGUGUCUAGUGUAAACAUGGGCAGACCACUUAAACCUCUCUUUAGUCUUCUCUGUAGAAUGAUGAUAAUACCAUCUAAUUAGCAGGAUUGUUGUUUUAUUCAGUGAGACAGCAUAUGUAAAUAACUUAGUAAAAUAAAAAGCAACGUGUUUA